rnacentral:lncRNA from 1 species
UGCUUUCAGGAUACCAUGAGGUGAACAGACCCAUGUCCAUCAUGUGUCCUUCUUGAUAUGUGGAGCUUAAUAGCAAGGGCAUGCAAAAGUGAACUGAGAUGUCAGACACCAAGUCUCUUUGAAUUUUCUCAGGGAGAAUUCAUAUCAGGAGGUAAAAACUUAGCAUGGAGACACCCUCAGAGAGAUGGAGACUCUCAACAUGAUGGAAACCCACAGUGUGACUUGUCCUGUCCAAGACAGCCUCAGCAUGACUUGUCCUGUCCAUGACACUCUCAGCAUGACUUGUCCAGUCCAUGACACCCUCAGGAUGACUUGGCGAGUUCAUGACACCCUCAGUGUGAUAGAGACGACCUCAGCAUGAUGGAGACACCCUCAGUGAGACUUGUCCUCUCCAUGACACCCUCCGCAUGACUUUUCCAGAACAUGACACUCUCGGCAUGACUUAUCCUGUCCAUGACACAAUCAAUGAGACUUGUCCUGCCCACUCAGCAUGACAACUCAGCAUGACUUGUCCUGUUCAUGAAAACCUUAGCAAGACUUGUACUCUUCAUGACACCCGCAGCGUGACUUCUCCUGUACCAGACAACCUCAGUGUGACUUGUCCUGUCAUGACACCCUCAGCAUGAUAGAGGCACCCUCAGCGUGAUGGAAAAACCCUCAGUGAGACCUGUCCUGUCAUGACACCCUCAGCA